CUGUGACCAUCCCGGGCCACUGUCCCUCAGGCAGAGCCAGCUGGCCCCAGGAGAAGAGGUCAUAGAGGCAGCCAUGGGGAGGCUGGGAUCUGUGGCUCCAGUGAGUUGGAAGACAGUGGAGACUUUUCAGCAUUGAUAGGAGCCCCCAUCAUCUGGCUCCAUGUGGAUGAAGACCUGCAUUUAUUGCCUUUACAGUCAUGUGCUCCCUGGACAGUGAGAUGAGUGCUCCACCAAGAGACAGAGUCAGCGCAGGCAGGUGCAACUUGGCCCUUGAACGGUGGAUUCCCGAUGGCAGGAUCUUGGACUUUUCUACUUUCUCUGGAGAGCAAGACAGGGAGAGCCAGCUUAACCAUGGCCUGGAGAGGUGAUCUGCCAGGAAGAAAGGGGGAGAGGCUGCCUAAGGAUGAAGAGGGGCACACGCAUAUUCCCAAGAACAAACGUGAGAACUGUACAGCACCUGAACCGAGCACUCAGUGUCUGAAGCCAGAGGGGAAGAGUUUUGUACCUCCGAAGUGGGUGUCCCUGGUUCGCCCUGAGGCUCCUGAGUGAGUGAUGGGCAUCUUAAGAUGCAAAACCUCAUGAAGAAGAGUUCACAACCAGGUACGCCGCGAGAGGACCAGCUCUUUGGAGAUGAAAUGCAGCACAUGUUAAGUCAUGGGUUCAAGUCAAACAUGCUCUAACGGACACAUAGUGGAACCAAAGGCAUAGUUUAGCAGCAGGUCUUCCGGAAAACAAGCAACCAACACAAGCAAAACCCUGACUUGCUAAGACAGAAGGUGGGAGUGGGAGCAGCUUUGACAAGGUCAGGUUAUUCUACAUAUUGCGUUUGUGUAAAUUAGAGCAAGAGCCCCCUGCUGGGUGGAUGUGGCACUGCUAGACCAUGGCUUGGCAGGUCCAAGGCAACUUUCUU
rnacentral:lncRNA from 1 species